ACAAAACCCUGUAGAAUUCUGAUAUUUUAUCAUACCUGUGCAUGGUUUUUUUAAACAUAGCUUUCUUUUUAAACCAAAAGAUCAGUUACCGGCAGAAACCAGCCAUGCACUAUACAGUUUUGACCUAGUGAGACUCAUUAGCAUGGCGCUGGUUCAGGUUUGGAGGUUGAAGUCUCUCUGUGAGCAUAUCUAGGUACCAACACCCCACAGAGCAAAUAGUAAUAUUACUGUU